rnacentral:rRNA from 1 species
UACUGGCGUGGGCUUUUUAUAGACCUCCUUGCCGGUUUGCUCGACUUGAACGCUAUAGGGCGUGCCUUGGUACGUGCUGCUGCAUGUCUGUCGUUUAACUCGGUGCCGUUGGUGGACGUACUGACGGUGUCUAGAAGGGGCCGGACACGAUACGUGUGAGUUUAGUACCCGUACCGGAGACGAGGAGCGAUGAGACGGGUUGGGUUGCCUCGAAGGUCACUCGUCCUGCCGUAGGGGCAGCAGCUGAACCGGCAGGAGGAGUUGCCGCUGCGGCCGCUUGCCAGCGUCCGCUAGGCCGUGGAGCCGGCCCGCACGGUUCUGACCCCGAAGAAGUACCACUGGUUGGUACCCCACGUGCUCCGAGAGGUCUCGCGCGAGUACCUGCGCACGUUCCUCGACAAGCCGGAUGGUGGCCUCGUUUUCCGCCUCAAGUACCUGCGGCCGGGCUACCUGGGGCAGGCGCAGCCGUGCCCGAAGUUGAGGCGGCAGCUACCGCGGUCCAUGACCGCCCUGAUGCAGUUCUACAAGCGCGUGGGGCUCGAGGUGACGGGGCGGUUCGGGCUGUGGGACGCCCCGCACCGGUGCCUCAUGCGCCGCGCGUGGUCCCCGGACGACGACCUCGAGUGCCGCCGGUAGAGGCUCUCGGACCCCGAGCUUCCGCCGGCGUAGCGACUCGCGGAGCUGGACCCCAGGACGAAGGUCUAGGAGCAGCCGUUGGUAAUGGGUGGAUCGCCACCGGGGCUGCUGCUACCCCGUCAGCCCGACGGCCGAGUGAGACUGGUGCCGGAGGAGUGAGACGAGAAGGUCUUGCCGCAGCUACCGGAGGUUCAGUUCGUGCUGCCGGCCACCGAGGAGCGUCUCGGGUAGGGGCCGCGUAAGAAGCAGUAGCGGCCGCUAGUCGACCUCCACUGGUCGGCUAGCUGAGAACAGAGAACACUAAGCACACAACGAGUAUGUGCAGCCACUUACCGUACGUCUAACACUCGUUACCUUCCAUGUUCCCACACGAGGUGGCGCGUGACCAGCUGGCGCGCGUCCGCUCCUACAACACGCACUCGGACUAGCCCGGCACGGACCUGCGGCAGCAGCUCGGUCACGGCCUCGAUCGGCACCGUGGGGACGCGGACCUCAUGUACCCGCAGCUCAUGUCCCUGAUGUACCUUGUGGUCGUCUCAUUGUUCGAGUUGCUCUUCCCUCGCGACCUGGAGCAAGCCCACGUCUGACGUCUUUGCGAACCGUUAAAAACUUUAAUGAUUUCGUACUAAGGAGUCCAAUUUUACGAGUUCAACUGGUUUUUAAGGCACAGGUAUAAACAAAAUAAAAACGUUGGCUGGCCUGGAGACCGAAAAGUAGUAAUUCUUCUUCUCUUAACUGAUCGUCAUAGUUCUCGUCGCAUGGGGAACCGGAGAGAGCGUUGACGGGUCUUUUGAGUCUAAAGAAAGAAACGGAGGGCAGCCGUGGCGGCAACUAGGCGGAGCAGGCUCCCGUAAUCCCGGUGCCUCCGCGUCACCUAGAGCCGGGAACGGAGUUCACUAUAUCUGACGUCACGGUUGUUACACGG